rnacentral:rRNA from 1 species
AACGAACGCUGGCGGCAUGCCUAACACAUGCAAGUCGAACGGGAUCCUAGCUUGCUAGGUGAGAGUGGCGGACGGGUGAGUAACACGUGGGAAUCUGCCUUUGGUUCGGGAUAACCGCGGGAAACUGCGGCUAAUACCGAAUGCCCUCGAGAGAGGAAAGAUUUAUCGCCAGAAGAGGAGCCCGCGUAACCGAUUAGGUAGUUGGUGGGGUAAAGGCCUACCAAGCCGACGAUCGGUAGCUGGUCUGAGAGGAUGAUCAGCCACACUGGGACUGAGAUACGGCCCAGACUCCUACGGGAGGCAGCAGUGGGGAAUAUUGGACAAUGGGCGAAAGCCUGAUCCAGCAAUGCCGCGUGAGUGAUGAAGGCCUUAGGGUUGUAAAGCUCUUUUACCCGGGAUGAUAAUGACAGUACCGGGAGAAUAAGCUCCGGCUAACUCCGUGCCAGCAGCCGCGGUAAU